rnacentral:rRNA from 1 species
UACGUAGGGUGCGAGCGUUAAUCGGAAUUACUGGGCGUAAAGGGCGCGUAGGCGGCCCGCUAAGUCGAACGUGAAAUCCCCAGGCUCAACCUGGGAACUGCGUCCGAUACUGGCAGGCUUGAAUCCGGGAGAGGAUGUGGGAAUUCCUGGUGUAGCGGUGAAAUGCGUAGAUAUCAGGAGGAACACCGGUGGCGAAGGCGCACAUCUGGCCCGAUACUGACGCUGAGGCGCGAAAGCUAGGGGAGCAAACGGG